GAUGAAGAACGUAGCGAAAUGCGAUAAGUAAUGUGAAUUGCAGAAUUCAGUGAAUCAUCGAAUCUUUGAACGCACAUUGCGCCCGCCAGUAUUCUGGCGGGCAUGCCUGUUCGAGCGUCGUUUCAACCAUCAAGCCCCCGGCUUGUGUUGGGGACCUGCGGCUGCCGCAGGCCCUGAAAACCAGUGGCGGGCUCGCUGUCACACCGAGCGUAGUAGAUUUUCAUCUCGCUCAGGGCGUGCUGCGGGUUCCGGCCGUAAAAAGCCUUAUUUACCCAAGGUUGACCUCGGAUCAGGUAGGAAGACCCGCUGAACUUAAGCAUAUCAAUAAGCGGAGGA
rnacentral:misc_RNA from 1 species